rnacentral:rRNA from 1 species
UACGGAGGGUGCAAACGUUGCUCGGAAUCAUUGGGCGUAAAGCGCACGUAGGCGGUCCUUUAAGUCGGGUGUGAAAGCCCUCGGCUCAACCGAGGAAGUGCAUUCGAAACUGAGGGACUUGAAUACUGGAGAGGAUGGCGGAAUUCCCGGUGUAGAGGUGAAAUUCGUAGAUAUCUGGAGGAACACCGGUGGCGAAGGCGGCAUCCUGGACCGACACUGACGCUGAGGAGCGAAAGCCAGGGGAGCAAACGGG